rnacentral:lncRNA from 1 species
UGUCUUUGGUCCCUAGAACCCACAUACAAAGGAAAAAUCAGACAUGGUGGUAUAUGCUUGUAAUCCCAGAGCUGGGGAGACAGAGACAAGAAGUACUCUGGGGCCUGUGGGCCAGCCAGUCUAACCUAACUGAACAUUCUGUCUCAUUUCCAUAUCCUUUCUUCCUCUCCCUUCCCCCCCCCUCCCUCUCUCUUUCUCUCUCUCUCUCCCCCCUCCAGGACAAAAAACAGGUCUGCUAGUUUACAAUUCCUAAGGUCAAAUCUUAUGGUGACCCCAGCACCUGGAGCCCCAAACCUUUGACCUAAAAGCUUCAAAAGGCCAUUCCAAGAACUCAAGCAGGCACUCCAGAGAGACUGAACAGAUCCGAGAGCCCCUGCUUGGUUUUAUGACUUGUUUGGGUGUCUAAAAUUAUACUUGUUUCCUGCAAGAGCUAUGCUUCAGGAUGCAAUGCAGUGAAAUUUUGUUUGCUUCAACAUAAAGUCACUGCUUUCUCCGUCAUGUAAGUAGACACCAGUGCAGCCAUUAUUUUGCCAAUCCCUGUUCUUUGUCCUUCAAGGUUUCCAGGAACUCACUGCUCUUCUGCCACAGGCAACCGGAGUAGGGAGAGGAGAGAGAAGUGCUGAUCACAGAAGAAUAUGCCCCUGGACCACAGCCUCCCCGGGCUUAAGGCUUCAUUAAUCAAUCAGCCAGGAAAGCACGCUUAGCUCUGCUGUCCUGGAUACUGUGAAAGGAGAAUCACAGAUGUGGCACUCGAAAGGCUCCCAGCCCCAGGCCACGCUGUCUCCUAUUUUUGUAAAACACUUCAAAGAUUGUUGAACACGAAGCUGAACAAAAAAAGCAGAAGGCUUGAAAAGAAUUCUAGAGUUCUCUUUGGGUCAUACGUUUAUUCUGUGGCAGCUAAAGGAUGGCUGCUUUUCUUCAUUCCUCUGUUACAUAAACUUUGCAGAAUAUCUGGCUUUACCAAGCAAGAGCC